UCAACAACCUAAUGAUACUUUUCAAGUUUG
rnacentral:piRNA from 1 species